AUAGUUGUGGCUCAGAGGUAGAGCGCUUGCCUAGCAUGCCUGAGGCACUGAGUUCAAUACUCAGCACCAUAUA
rnacentral:tRNA from 1 species